UGUCACUGUAGGAGGUAGGUGUCAAACUGAAUGUUGUUGAUACAUCCGUGGCUAAAGUCACACUGAGUGAUACAUUUGAUGUUAAAAAAGAACAGAGCAAUAAUACAUGAGCAGGAUUGAACCAGCAAUAACUGCCUUGUCCACAGGGGUGUGCUAAUGUGAGUCAGUGCAUUUACAUGCAGAGUUAAGUUUAACUGGACUACUGUCUUUGACCAGGAUUCCCAGACCCUCAACAGCAGGUAUGUUAGUCACUAUGAGAAGCUCGAUUAACGAUUUAGUGCAAUUCCAGUCAUACCAAUGUGUCUUUAAAAGUCCAGUUUCAGUCGGAAAAAGGUAGAUUGUCUUCUACGGGGCGGAGGGGAGGUCCUGCCUCAAGUGGAGUUCAAGUAUCUCGGGAUCUUGUUCAAGAGUGAGGGUAGGAUGGAGCGGGAGAACGACAGGCGGAUCGGAGCGGCGUCAGCAGUGGUGCGGACGCUUAACCGAUUUGUCGUGGUGGAGAAAGAGCUGAGCCGUAAGGCGAGACUCUCGAUUUACCGGUCGAUCUACGUGCCGACCCUCACCUAUGGUCAUGAACUUUGGGUAAUGACCAAAAGAACAAGAUCGCAGAUACAAGUGGCUGAAAUGGGUUUCUUUCGCAGGGUGUCCGGGCUCAGCCUUAGAGAUAGGGUAAGGAGCUCGGACACUCAGGAGGUGCUCAGAGGAGAUGUCUCCUCCACGUCCAGAGGAGUCAGCUGAGGUGGCUCCGGCAUCUGUUAGGAUGCCCUCUGGACGCCUCCUGUUAGAGGUGUUCCAGACAUGUCCCACCAGGAGGAGACCCCGUGGCCGGCCCAGGACCAGGUGGAG